AAUUCGCAGGUGAAAACGAGGUCUGCGAGAUUUCGCAAACACACAAAAAGGGCUGCGAAAUCACUUCGCAGCAAAAGGCUGAUUUCGCAGCGCUGCGAAGUUGGCUUUCAGCUUGCGGUGUUCGGCUUCCAACGUGUUGCAACUAUCGGGAAACUUUAGGGGGAAUUCCACAGCACUGUGCAAAAUGGCUGCGAAAUCAUUUCGCAGCAAAAGGGUGAUUUCGCAGUCGUGUAAAAUUCUUCCUUCAGCUUGGAGUGAUUGGCUUCCAAUGGCUGUAACUCCUUCAUUUCAACUCCGAAUCACGCACCGUUUGAAGCAUUGGAUUUUUGACUUCCUGAGCUUCUAAAUGACAUAUAGAAUUCAUAAAUUGGACUCCAGGAAGUGCUCCAAAAGUGGCUGACAUGACUGUCAUCAAGAAUUGCCUCAUGGCAGAUUUCUCUUUGCUUCCCCUCCUUGCAUUCCGGAUUUGCUUAUGGAAAAGGACUUCAAAGCUUUGGUUCUUCAUGUUUCUGAGCUUUUCAUUGCUUUGCCAUGGAUUCCAAAUAACUCUCCUCAAUCUCAUAUUGCUUUGGUGAUCAAAAAGCUAUCAAAACACUAAAACUUAACACAAAUUGAUUAGAAGUGCUUACAAAGGUCCUUAAUAUGUUAAUUGGGUUAAAAGGCAAUAACUACUACUCAAAAGUGUUUAAAAGAGUUAAUUACAGGCUAUCAAAUAGCACUUUUUGAGUACUAAUCAAGUUAUCCCUCCAAUUAAGGGGUAAUGAACAAGUCAAUAACUUGUAAAGAAGUCAUGACUUAGAUCUUUCAUGCAACUCUUAAUAACCCUAGUUCAUGUAUAAUGCAAGUGAAGUAAGUCAAAAUGCUCAAAUAAAAAUAAAUGCAAAUAAGGAUAGAAUAAUGGAAACUAGCUUUUUGACAUCAUGUCUUGCUUUUAAAGGUUUUAUCUUAACAAACUCUUAUUAGCCCCAAAAGCAAACUAGGUACCACAAAAAAAAAAAUCUACUUUAUAAUUACAUCACUUCUCUAAACUAUCUAACAAAACAAGUAAUACUUCUUUUCUAUGUGUUUUCCCUCAAAUGGUUCCUAUUUUAUUUAGUUUGUGCCACCACCCCAUUGUUAUCAUAAAACAGGAUCAUGGAUGGUGCAAACAUGAGAACUACCUCCUCUCUCAUAAGGAAUAUCCUCAGUCAAACGACUUCCUUUGUUACUUCAGAAGAAGCAAAAAACACCUCUUAGAGUGUACACGUACCCAAAAGUAAACCUGGAGGAGUGUUCAUCAAACUUAAAUUCUAAAUCCUUAAGUUCAAGGAGUACUAACUUAUUGCAAAAGUGCUCAUCAGACUUAAAGUCCUCAUUUAUGGGUAUUUCUUUGUGAAUUCAACACUUUUAUUUUUUAUUUUUUAUUUUUUUAUGCUUGAGUGAUAUUUUGGCCAUCCAUACGUCUUUUAAGCUCAAUUUCAUACUUAUUUGAGGUUUGAGAAUGAUUGAAUGUUUUGUGGACUAAUCCAUGACUCUUUCCUUUGAUCUAAAUCUCUCAUUUUUCAAACUAAUGAUUUUCAAAUUUUCUUGAUUUUGGAAACAUGGAUAAAUCUCACAAAUCUUAAUUAAAUUGGAUAGCCUCCUAUUAUUGGGAUUGAGUCCCUAAAAGCAAGACAUGUUGUAACAAAGAUAGACUUGAUUAUUCUUUGCUAUCUUUUUUGUCCAUUGACAUUUAUUUGAGCAUUUAGCCUAUAUCUCUUACAUUAUACAUGACUUGGGUGUAUUAGGAGUUGCACAUAGAAUACAAAUCAUGAGUUCCUUGCAAGUAGAUAAGUUAUCCACAAUCAGUUUAUGGAUUUGGACAAUCUAGUAGAGACUGUAGUGCACCACCUUCUAAUUAAAGGGAUGACUUGUCUUGGCCGUUGGGAUGGGUUUCCCAUGGUGAGUGCACUAGCGUAUGUGAUGCACACUGAACAGGACCUACUAUGAAUGAUGACAUAAGGCUAUCAAAUUGUCAUAAUUCACCAAGCUACUAUAGUAUUGGACUCUCAACCUUGAGAGUAUAUUAAGUCUAUGCUAAAGUCAAUAUAAGGUUUUAACCUACGAGUGAGACCUUAAAGUGGUCAUAUAUCCCUAAAUUGGGUCACUAUUGAUAUAGGCUAGUGGCAACAAAUAUUCUUAAUAACAGCACCAUGAUAUCUCAUGGGUUGAGACAAUGUGUCCCCUUGGGUGAUCUAAAGGACAUGUGAUUAUGAAAUAUGUUGCCACAGUAAUUCCUUUAAUGGAAUUUGACGUAUGCGCAUUGGAGUUAUAGUAUGUCAGUUGAUCACAUGAUAAAUGAGAUUGGUAACGCAAGGAUUUGAGAGGCAAUCUUGAUAGGUGACAAUACUACCUUGUUAGACUACAAACACCAAUUCAUAGGAAGUCUACAUGUAGUGGAUAGUAGGUCAGGGACCUGAACUUUGUCUUGUUGUUAUUUACAUAGAGCACUGGAGUGUAGUUGAUUCUAUUUAGUGGAAUGUUGAAUCAACUUCAUAAUUGGAUUAUGAAAGAGGCAAUACUCCUAUGGGUCCCAAUGGUCCAUACUCUAAGCUCAUAUAUCAUGAUGGCAUGGUUUAUGAGGGGUUAGAUUGACUUUAGGCUCAUUCUUGUGCAUAAAGGCAUUUUGGUAAUUACGUAAGGUUGCAUAUGGGAUGAUGAAUAAGGUCUCUGGAUUAGACUAAUUGAUUACUUAGAUGGCCCUAUGUGGUUAAUUAAUUAAUUAGGACAUGUUUUGGGCUAGAUUAAAUGACGUAAGCCUUAAUGGACUUAAGUGACUUAAGCUUAGUGCAAAACCCUAUAAAUAUCCUCUUAAAUGGUUAGAGUUUCUUAAUGACUUUCAGUUAGUCGGCUUCCACCUCUAGAAAGAGAGAAAGAGAGAGAGAGAGAGAGAGAGAGAGCCAAAGUUUCCUCUCUUUCAUUGCCCACACUUUGGAGUGCCAAGAUCGUGGUUCGUCGAGUAAAAGAUCUUAGGUGUACAAGACCUCCAAAUUUUUUAGGCAUGUUCUCUAUCAGAUAGAUUUUAAUUUGGGAAUAUCCAAAUCACAGGUAUGAAUUUCAAACCUCUAGAUCUUUAUUCUAAAAUGGUUUUGAAGCCAUUAUUUUCCAUUGCAUUAGAUCUAGAGAUCCCUAAAAAAAAUACAUCCUACAAGAUUUAAGGCAUGGGAACAGAGUAAUCCAGGGUUCCCAAUAACUGGUAUCAAAGCCCUAGAGUAGGUUCUAGCAUGUUAGAUCCCUAACAAGGUAUGUUAACUCUAUUUUGCAGGGUUUUUUUUCUUUAUCCCAUGACCCCUAAGAAUAAAAAAUAAAUUUGUAAACGAAUGUAUGUUUAUUCAUCUUAUGUCCUAAAGGGAAGAAUGAAUGUGAUUAAAUUAUUAUAUAUUGAAUCUUAUUAGUUUGAUGUGAUAUCUUGUUUUCUCUUUCUCUAGAUUGGGUUGUACACCCCAUAAGGGGUAUAGGAUUUUUAUUUAGUUGUAAAAAAAAAAAUCUUUUCAAUAGAUGGGUUGUAAGCUCUAUUAUAAGAGCAUAGGAAUUUUUAUUAUUAUACAAAUUUUGGUUUUUUAUAUCCAUCUAUGGUAACCCAAGAGAAAAAAAAGAAAUCUUGAACUUUCUUUUUGAGAUUCUCCUCCUCCAAAGAGAGAAAGAGAGAAUGAGAGAGAGAAAGCCAAAGUUUCCUUAUUUCCAUUGCCCACACUUUGGAGUGUCAAGAUCAUGGUUCAUUGAGCGAAAUGUCUUUGGUGUACGAGAGACCUCCAUAUUUUUCAGGCAUGUUCUUCAUUGGAUGGAUUUUGAUUUGGGAACAUCUAGAUCACAAGUAUGAAUUUCAAAUCUCUAGAUCUUUAUUCUAAAAUGGUUUUGAAGCCAUUAUUUUCUACUAUGUUAGAUCUAAAGAUCCCUUGGAAAGAUGCAUGUACCCUACGAGAUCUAAGGCAAGGGAAUAGAGUAGUUGAAGGUUACUAACACAUCCAACCCUCAUGUGCUUUUUUCCAUGAUCAUUAAAGGAUAUGGGAUGUGGAUUAACCUAUGGAAAUCAACUUGUCAUUGGUAAGGCCUACAUUCUUGGAUUUUAAAAAUUCAUUCAAUUGCUAACCUGUUUUUAACCCAUAAAAUGUUUUAUUAAACAUUAACUUUUUGACUUGUCCCAAAAUAUUUUUUUAGGCUUGGAUGGUGUUUUGGACUUCUUAAAAGAAUCAAAGAAUAAUUUAUUUAUUUUUAUCUAAAAACCCUUCUCCAAGUUUGUUUAACAAAUUAGUUUGCCCAAGUGUCCAUAUUCUACCUUGUUUUUUACACUCAAUAUUUUUGUAAAUUUGUACUCUCUCCUAGGUUUCUAAUUGUUUUUAAUAUUUUUUCAUGUAUAGUAGACUUCUUAAAUAAGAUUUUAACCUAAUUUGCUUUCACUCAAAAAUUAUUUUCUAAGCUUUUGAAUUAGUUCCACCUUUCUGUGCUUGUUGUGUUGACCUGAAUUUGAAGUUUUGAAAUAUUCUUUGAAAUUUGGGAUAAUUGGUGCAUGUUCAAGCCCCCUUAGAAAUAUUUCAUGUGUUCUAUACACAUUUUUUAUGCUUUGAUUUGAUUUUAUCUCACCUCUAAACUUGCUAAAUAAUUCAAUCUUUGCAUGAUGUAUUGUUCUACCCUAUUUCUAAGUAAUAAUAUGUUUGGUUAAAUCUAGGAUACUCUAUUCAUGUUUAGGCACUUUGGGCUUUAGGGUUGUAAACACUUUGAGUGCAUGUUUUAGAUUUUUUUUUUCUUGAUUUUAUCUCAUCUCUACUAUUUUAUUCGAAUUUAUUUUUUAAAUACUUGCUUGUUGUCCAAUUUUUGUAUAUUUGGUAUAAACUUGCUAAUUCAGUCACCUUUUGCAUGAAUUUGACUUUUUUUUACUUUUGAUUUAUAUUGUAGACAUCUUUUUACAUGUUGUAUGAGCUCUCCCUUGUAACUUGAUUCUCCUUUACAUAUUUUAUUUAGAUUUAUUUGUGAUUGUGUACCUACUGCCGAGUUCUAAUACUUGUGCAUGAUUAAAGUAUAUUAGUUUACUUUGCUCCUAGUUUAGCUAUAUUUGACUCUUGAUUUUGGUUGUGAACAUAUUGUAUAUAUUCAGAAACUCUUGUUUUGAUAUUAUAUCUCUUAUUUUGUUUGUGGGUUAACCCUCUUUUCCUUGUAUAUGCACAUUGCCCCAUUUUGGGCAUUUUUUAGGUACUCUUCCUUGUUUAUUUGCUUCCUUUGAUAUGUAUGUCAUACUUUGAGUGCUCUUUGCCUUUAACUCUCCAUCACCAUUGUCUAGUUAUAUCGUUGUUUGUUAUCUCUUGGUAUUCAUUAAUCUAUUAGUCAAUUGUCUUAGUUCCCUACACUUGUUAAAUAGAGACCUUUUUUUAGGGCUUAGAGGGAUGUUACCCUAUAGUACCUUCCUAAUAAGUAACCUGACCCUCGAACUUGGACUCAAUUUUCAUAGGCAUGUUUUUCCUUCCAAAAUGAGUCACUUUUAGGGUUUUUUUAAUAUUUUGUUUUCCCUUUUAAAAAUAAACAAAAUAAGUGGUGACUCUAACAUUUUCAAAAAUUAGUUUUUCAUAAUAAAAAAACAAGUCUCGCUAUCGAGUGAGGACACAUGAAAAAUAUGGAUUCACAAUAGAACUACCCACUACAAAGGCAUAAGAUACCACCUCCAUAUGAUCUUUCUCUUCAGUUGUCUUAUGACACUUAUCCUAAGAAAGACCCAUGCUUGAAGGGUAACAAACUCUUCUUGGAGUCCCAUAUCAUGCCCUUAACUAAAAGGUUGUUAGUGUAAGUGUCUUUAACAUAGUGCGAUUUUCCAAUUCUUGCAAACCCUAAGGACCUUAAUUUCAAGAAUAGAUCUAGGCAACUUGCAUACUAGAUGCUCUUCAUUCUUGGCUAUGAAGACGUCUAAUUGCAUUAUAUAAAUGCUAUCAAGAUAACCAUUCAAGAACACCAUUUUGAUACCCAAUUAGCAUAUCUCAUCAUUUUGAUGGAUAAGAGUACUUUGAUGGAUUUGAGCAUGGCUACCAACAAAAAAGUUCACAUAGUCGAAGCAAUGUUUCAAACUAUAACCUUUAACUACAACCCUAACCAUAUAAGUCUCAACUUUUUAAAAUUUAAAUAGAAUAUCCAAAUAAAUUUGAUGGAAUAAUUUAAAAUUUAGUAGAUUUUCAACGGACCAAAUUUCCCCCAAAUAAUUCAAAAUUUGCAGCAAAUAAUCUACCUAAUUGAAUUGGAAGACAAAUAUUCCCUAUGCCAGUCAAUGCCCAAAAUAAAAAUAAAAAAUAAAAUGAAAGCUAGCAAGAUAGAUAUUAAGCGAAUCAGGUAAUGUAAAUGGCGUAAACAUCUGCCAAGAACUGAGGACACAUUUGCAUGAAUUACAAGUAUCAUUUUUCAUAAACCCCACAAUGAUUUACCAUUUUUCAACUCACAGAAGGAUCAUUUACUUCAAUAUAUAAAUAGAAGAUGGCCCUCUACCUUUUUUUUUUUUUUUUUUCUUUUUUUCUUUUUUCCUUUUUUGUGGAUCUUUUCCCUUUUCCUUACGGUAUCACAAAUUUGUUGAUUAAAAGAAACACUGUUGCCUGCUUGCCUCCCUUUUGACUCCCUUCAGAAAGCAGCAUCCUAGGGUGUACAUGUGGAUCUUACUCUCUUCCCAGACUUCAUGGGUUUUGACUCUUUCCUUUCUUCGACUUGUUCUUCUCCUGCAUCUUCUUUUUCUUUGCUUCAGCAGUAACCCAAGUGUAAUCAGAAGGAAUAGCAAACGGUUCUUGAAUGUUGUCUAUCCUACUGCUUGAACCACCAUUGGAAGAAGAGGUAGGGCGUUGGUAAGGGGCCUUUAUCCACUGAAACCAUGAUGAACUUGAGGACUGCAUCAUGGCAGGGCUUUCUGGGCCUGCAGCAGAAGGGCUUGAAGGGGGUGUUGUAAACUCAUCCACCGGCUGUAGUUCUUCAAACUUUGUAAAUGUAACCAACACUCUGAUGGUAGGAACCACAGGAAUUGCAACCUGGAUAUAACUAUAGAGGACUUCUUAGCAAAUAGACAAAUACAGAAAUACAACAGCCAACCCAAGAAGCUGCUUGGAAGAAAUAAUAAUCACAGGUAAAAAUUAAAAAAUAACAAGACGCUGUAUACAAAUUUUGGUAGCAAAACAGGGUUCAAUGCUCCUUCCUACAACACCAUGCUGGAAAAACCGCUAUCAGGUAAUUCUGUCAUAUAGAACAAAAGAAAUUGAAGCAUACAUGCAAUGGCUCUAUUUGACAACUAGGAUGAGGAUGUCCAAUCUCCAAGGGGAAAAAGGGAACAUAGUAACACUGUAUAAUCAGAUUUGGAUUUCAACAAUCAACACAGAUGCCUGACCAACUUGCAUUGAUCCAUUCAAGACAGAAACUGGCAUGGGACUUCAAAACUUUUCAAUCUCAUUAACAAUUAACAAUCGUGAUUACAAUGACCGGUCAAUGGAUGAAAACUAAAAAUUAAAACUAAAUGAACCUUCUUCUUUGUGAAAUAUCUUUUCUAGUCACAGCACCAUACAGGCGUACACUUCUUGAACUCUAUCAUGCUUGAUUGGAAUUAUCUUAAAAAUUUAGCAUUCCAAAUUAACUCUUAAAGAGCAGUCAACAAUUCAAGAAUCACUCAGGAAAAUCUUGCACAGUUCAUUAGGGUUAGAAAACCCAAUCCUAUACAGCAAUUUGUAUAAUAAUUAUUUGUUCUGAAGCAUAAAAAUUAAAAAGAAUUUAUUUGAGGCACUCUUCAGAUUUUUCCUCUCCUAUUUAGCACUUUCAACUUUGUACCAAAACCUAUCAUCUUACCACUCAGCAGUGCCUCAUCAUAUCCAUCAGGCCCUGUCAUGUUGAUUUGUGGCCCUCUCAGAGACUUAAAAUAAUCUGGAUGCCAAUCUGGGUGAGAUUUCAGAUUUGAUUUUGAAGUGUGAAUUGAAGCUAUAAAUUUUCUUAGGUAACUUAAUUUUCUUAUCAUCUUAAAAAAAAAAAAGAUCUAUAAACCAAAAAAAUAAAUAAAAAAAAAAACAAAAAAUUCGUAUUAAAAACAAAACAAAACAAAAAAUCCAAAAUGUUGUCAAUGCACCAGGCAAAGGCAAGGCUAAACAAGAGCAAGAAAGAAAUCAUCUAUAACAUAAAACCAUCUACAAGCUCCAUCAUUCAAGGAUGACAUGGUACUGUUUCACAUGAUAAACCAAAGGAACAUACAGACCUCCAUGAAAGUGUUAUCUAGAGCAUGGAUAACACUAAACUCUCCUACUAUUGACCCAAGACUGCAAAUGAAACUUAUGAGGGAAAAUUUUGUCACUAUUUGAAGAAGCAUGUGGUCUUCUACUUCAAAUUAAGAAACUAUUGCCUGAGUAAAGGAGUAAAGAAGGCUAUUAAUUACACUACUAAGGUCUGAUUUUAUUCAAAUUGUAGAUUCCAGAAAAACUAGAAAAAAGACACGAAAGUGGAUUGAGGGUUCAAAAAGACAUGACAACCUAUAAUUAGGCAGAGGAUAUGGCCUUGAAAGUUGUUGACAGCUGUUUAGUCAAACCUGUGUAGUCAGAUUUCAAAGGUUUGCUGGAUAGGAGUUCAAAUUAAGGCUAUAUCCUCAAAUUAAGAAACUAUCGCCUGAGUAAAAAAGGCUAUUAAUUACACUACUAAGGUCUGAUUUUAUUCAAAUUGUAGAUUCCAGAAAAACUAGAAAAAAGACACAAAAGUGGAUUGAGGGUUGAAAAAGACAUGACAACCUAUAAUUAGGCGGAGGAUAUGGCCUUGAAAGUUGUUGAUAGCUGUUUAGUCAAACCCGUGUAGUCAGAUUUCAAAGGUUUGCUGGAUAGGAGUUCGGAAUUUCUUAAUGAUUAAUCUACCUUCUUUAUGUCAUUUCUGCAUAUCUUUCUUCAUCCCAUACUCCCGUACAAAAUUUGGUUGACACUCUCUCGGACAAUGAUUUGGCACUAAAGAAGAUAAUUUGAACCUCAUGCUCAAGGAUACAUCUCUCCCAUCCAUAUGGUUUUUAUCAGAUUCCAACAUGGAUAUUUUUCUCACAACUCACUGCAUCAGAAACUCUUUCUCAUAAUGUUACAUUUUCAGAUCAUUUAUCUUGCUUCUCUCCACAGCAUCAAGUGGUACUCACUCAUUCUCCUCUUUUUUUCCAUCCCUAUUGCAUAUUAAGCCACCAUCUUUAUAAUGUAAUAAUGUAUUAUCACCAAAUUCCAACAAAUUCAAUACAUAUUAGUCUCUGAAGGCAAUGAUCUUAAAGCACUUGCAAUUAAGAAGAUCCUUGAAGCCUCCAAAUCAUCUCUGAAACUAAUACACAUUCAUCAAAAACCGAUGCAUAUGAUUUUUACCAGCUGAUCUUUAUCAGCACUCCCAGGUUGCAUUGCCAAGAGAAUAUAGUUUCAAUCCUGGUCAAUCACAAAACUCACUGGAAGUACUACUUUUCUCUUAUUAAAAAAAAAAAUCAAGACUUAGGAUUCCUUUUUUUACAUUUCAACACUUUAGAAUGACAAAAGAGUUGGAAUGAAAAAAAAAGGAAUUCGAAGUCUUGAUUUUUUUAUUUUUUUAUUUUUUUAUUUUUUAUUUUUUUUGUAAAAGAAAAUACCAAUAAGUGAGUGGAUUUAUAUAUAUAGGCAUAAUAAUAAUAACAUUUAUCCUUUAAAAUAAUAAAACAAACUAAAAGGUAUAUUUUGAAAUUAGCAUGUGUAGCAAAUAGGAUAUGGAAUUGCUGUAGUGCCUAUCUAAUAUCCAAUGGAUAUUAUUUAUCUCUAAUUUUGCAUUGGUACCCUAGCAUAAAACUUGUUAUCAUGCUUGGGCUACAUUAUGUAAUCCAGGGUUACUUGUUUAACUCCUUCCAGUAGGAAUGUUUUUUUUCUUUUCCCUUUUUUUGUUCUGAUAAGUAACUCUUUUCCCCAGUUGGGAAUUGAACCUAAAACCUCCCACAUUGCCAACCCAACCUAUUGCCACUUGAGCCAGCCUAAAGGGCAUUUUACAGGGGAAUGUUGCUUCCCAAUAUAUAUAGACAUAUACUAUUUGGAUUUUUCUUAUUGGUUGUGUAUCAUUGUCAUUCAACCGAAAUUUUGUAUUUCUGAUGUCAAUGGAGAAAUAUUGAUACAAAACCAAGAACAACACUGGUUUACUCUGAACCAUAAUUAUCAAGCAACAGUCAAGCCAUUAUGCACAUGCCCACUAAGUCUAUUCCCAGUAAACAUUUCCAAACUCUAGAUGAGAGCCUGAAGGCCUGGUCAUCAGAUCAUGCUGGAAUCCAAAAAGGAAAAUGCAUUUGUAUUUCAGAUCCCAUUUUGUAGUUAGCUACCUUUGUUCCUCAUCACAGAGAUAUGCCCUCAGCAUUUCCAUGUUUUUGUUCUAAUUCUCCUUCCUAAAUCUUAAUUCAUGGUAGUUGCCAAAAAGAGAGAACAUGUUUCAACAGAAUUACUUAGUGGAAAGUCGCUAAUAGGCAUCAGGGUCACAAGGUCUAAAUGCUAAAUUACUUCCUAGUAAAACUGUCAAGUAUUUGAAUACUUGUCUGGUUGGUAGGAGAUCACUGAAAACAUGUUCUCCCUCUUCACCAACUUGGUAUUAACACACCUUUCUUCACUAUGAUUUAAUCAAUAUGUUUAUAUUAAAAUUCACAAGUUAACUACAGACUACAGGGGGUAGAUUUUAAAACAAUUUAGUUUGGUUAAAAUUCAGCAAGUUGGCAUCCACAAAUGGGUAGGAAUGAAAUGAGACUUACAACUACAAUUCUAGUCCUUGAAGAGAUUAGUAUGGCAAUGGUUGAUGCAUAAGGUCAUGGCAUAGUUAUGAUUAGGAAUGAUGCAGUCAAGACUGAAAAUUUCAAGCAUAUGAGAUGGUAUUUUGUAUAACAGAUCUGUGCUGAAUGUGUUAUCUCUAGGAAUACUCAAUAGUACACAAUUUUUAAAUUGGUUGUUGAGAAGAAAGAACUAUACAAUGAUCCAGUUGCAUUAUCAGCUGGUAGACAAUCAACUACUAAACUAUAACAUGACCUAUUAGUCCAAGUAAUUCCAAUCUGUCACAGUUGGAUGCAAGUCAAAAAUUGGUUUAAAAAGGAAAUCAGGUUGGUACUCCAUCAGAUAGAUGAUCUAUUCUUUAAAGUAUCAAUCCAACUAUGGUUCCCUAUCCAUAACAUCAUUUUGGUCCAACUUCAAUAUGAAACUACCUGGUCCCAUUUGACUUCUACUGGGACCAGUGGACUCAGGAAUUGACCAGUGCACUUCCAAAGACUCACAAAUCAUUCUUUUUGUUUUUCAAUUUUAGGCCAAAUAAACAUAAGACAAAAGCAGCCUACCAAAACACUAAAAUUAAUACUCAAUUUUGGGGCUAUUGCUACUGCAUGCAAUCAAAACAAAGCAUAGGUGAUGGUGACUGCCUUUAAAGUUCAAGCUUUAAGCAGAGGAUAUUAAACCACAAACUUGUUAUCAAAUAAAUCAAAUCACAGAAUCUAUGGGUACAAUGAAGUAAAUUCUGAGAAGAAUGGACAAGUAGUAAACAGAAAACAUUGUAAAGAUAUUCUAGGUUAUGAAAGGGACCUUUAUGCAUCCUUCAGGUAUUCCAAGCUAGCAGAAAUCUACGAUUAUAUAACCAUGUCUGAAUCUCUAAUACAAAUCAAGCAUUAAAGCUCUCAGUGAGCACCAUAAUUCUAUCCAAUUCAAAGGGACGCUCUUGUUUCUUAAUCCCAUUCCCAUGCUCCCAAAUACUGAAGUCUAUUUAUGUACCUAUAACUUUUAAGCAUUUCCUGCUAGGUAUUCUUUGUUGUAGAAAAACAAAGCUAUCAGAGUACCUAGUAAGAAAACUUUGUCCUCAAGGGAGUAAACAAUUUGGAGAUCUGGGUUCAUACUAGCUGAAGCUAAGCUUAAAAUUAGUUCAGUUUGGUUCACUAGUUUUUGCCCAUUCAUGAGCUUCAGUAGGCAUCAUUCAUAUGGAUAAAUUAAGCCAACCUCAAAAUUUAAAUUAUAUAUCCAGGUAUCUAUUGGUAAAAAGGCUCGAAGGAUGAAGAAACCAAGAAGUGAAACCAUUUUGAUGAAUCAUGAGACGAGAAACAUUUAGCAGGACAUUUAUGGCACGUUUACUAAACUUCAAAGCAAAGGGGAUCAUAAAAAAGGGAAUCAGAUAAGAGAAAGAAAAGGAAUGAAUGGAAGGGAAUCAGAUAAGGGAAAGAAAAGGAAUGAAUGGAAGGGAAUCAGAAUCAGCAAUUCCACCAAAGAGUUUACUUACAAAGCAGGAAACAGAAUCAGAAUGAAGUUGUUUGCCUUUGUAGUAUUUGCUAAUUGUGGACCAAACAUAAUGAAAUGUGUACUUUUGCCCUUAUGCACAUAAUUUUCCCUAUUAUCAUUAGAGAUUUAACAACAAAUACUAUUUUAAAUAGAGAUUUUUAAAAAAUUCUAUUUUAAUGGAAUUUAAAAUGAAUAAAAAUUAUUUUUUUAAUAUUUUCAUUUUUAAAAAAGGAUUUUCAUUAACUUAAAUUAUGAAAUUAUCUUUUAAAAUUAAAAAAAAAAAAAUUGUUAUAAUUAUGGUUUUGAAGCAUCUAUGAUUUUUUUCCCUACUUCUUUUAAAAAUAUGCUCCACUAGGCAAAUAUUUAUUUUAAGGGUUUAUUACACUUUACCCCUUUAACCUAUACCAUGAUUUGCACAUUGUCCCAUCGAGUUCAAAAUCUAGUAAUAUACCCUUCAUGUUUUAUAAUUGCACCCAAUGUGCAUUUUCUGAGUCACGACAUUACAUGUUUGGAUGGAAUGGCAUGUGCUCUCCACGUGAUCGAGGGCACAAUGGUCAUUUUUUAAUAAGUGAGGGCAAAAGGGUCAUUCCAUUUUUAACCUUAAUUUGUAACCCUCCUCUCCCCGUCGAUUGUUUCUUACCCUGUUGUUGCAGAUGAAGCCCCAAGACAAAGCCCUCCUCCCCCAAAGAAGCUAAUGAAGGGCUCACAUCAAAGAGAAGAUAUGGAGUUACGGUAAUUUUUUUACUUUCAAUUAUUUAAUGGGUAGAAGCAUGUCGAGAACGGGGGUUAGGGUUUUGUUUUGAUCUUUCAAAUAAUUUAAAGAAAUUUUAGGGAAAUUUUGGGAAAAUAAAACUCAGUCAAAUUGAGGGUUAGGGUUUCAUUUGAUGUUUCAGAAAAGUGGGGGAAAUUUGAGGAUUCUUGAGAUUGAGAAAUUAUUUUGGGGAAUUUUCAAAUUUCCACCCUAUGGACAAGGAGAAAUUAUGUGGGGUUUUUGGCAACAGCUUUGUGGAAUUUGGAUUUUAAGGCUUCGAAGGGAAGGAAGAACAAGGGAGGAGGGCUUCAGCUUGGGGGACGGGGGAGAGGAGGGUUGUAGAUUAAGAAAAAAAAUGGUCAUUUUGCCCUCGAUCACGCUGAGAGCACAUGUCAUUCCGUCCAAAAAUGUAACAUUGUGACUCAAAAAAUACACAUUGCAUGCAAUUAUAAAGCAUAGAAGGUACAUUGCUCGAUUUUGAACUUGAGGGGGCAAUGUGCAAAACAUGGUAUAGGUUGGGGGGGUAAAAUGUAAUAAAUUCUUAUUUUAAUGGUUUUAAAUAUUUGAUAUUUAUUUUAAAUUUUUAAACAUUUAAAUCUUUAUUUUAAAAUAUUUAGAAUUAGAGGGAGGGGCAUUUAGGUAAUUUCAGAUGGAGAAAUUUUGAUUCUCCAUCUUUUGGAAUACGUUUCUUUGCUUUUGAAGGAGAAUCCCGUUCCUCCAAUUGGAGGAAUGGGUUUCUCAAGUAUUGGUGGGGCCUACUACAUUUCAUUCCCUAAAUGCCAAAAUGCAAGUAAACAAAGGAAAGGGAAUGACUCCUUUCCUUCGAUUCCUAUGGAAUGAAGUAAACAGCCCCUCAGUGACAAGCAACCCUGUCAGCAUGAUUGGACUUAACUAAAGGAGAAAAAAACCACAAAGGUAAUGCAUGUAAGAUGAUUCCCGCUAAUUUCAAAACAAAAAAUCCUCACUGUAGAAGGAUUAAAACACCUAGAGCUAGAGAUGAACAAAAUAUGAAAAGAAAUAAGUGUUCCAAAAAAAAAAAAAACACAAAGGACUUGCUCUAAAUCAAAAGCAAAUAUGAUGCCUUAGAAGCAAAGAUAAAAUAGUCCAAAAUUGCCCUUGAGACCUAACUACGGUAAAGGAAUUGAUAAGAUGUAGGAGGAGGUUCUAGGUUCGAGUCCCAAUAGGGACAAAAAAAAAGAAAAAAAAAUGUUCCAUCCAAAAAAAGAACAGAAGAAGACCCAACAAUUACCUGAAAACCACGGAAAGUAGAAAAGAAAAGAACUGAUUAACACUGCGUAGUAUCAAAUUCAAAGCAAUAGGGUGGAGUUUAUUUGCAGCAAAGAAGGUAUUUCAUCUAAACCUAGAGGAAUUGAUAAGAUGUAGGAGGAGGUUCUAGGUUCGAGUCCAAAUAGGGACAAAAAAAAAGAAAAAAAAAUGUUCCAUCCAAAAAAAGAACAGAAGAAGACCCAACAAUUACCCGAAAACCAUGGAAAGUAGAAAAGAAAAGAACUGAUUAACACUGCGUAGUAUCAAAUUCAAAGCAAUAGGGUGGAGUUUAUUUGCAGCAAGGAAGGUAUUUCAUCUAAACCUAGAGGAAUUGAUAAGAUGUAGGAGGAGGUUCUAGGUUCGAGUCCCAAUAGGGACAAAAAAAAAAGAAAAAAAAAUGUUCCAUCCAAAAAAGAACAGAAGAAGACCCAACAAUUACCUGAAAACCAUGGAAAGUAGAAAAGAAAAGAACUGAUUAACACUGCGUAGUAUCAAAUUCAAAGCAAUAGGGUGGAGUUUAUUUGCAGCAAAGAAGGUAUUUCAUCUAAACCUAGAGGAAUUGAUAAGAUGUAGGAGGAGGUUCUAGGUUCAAGUCCCAAUAGGGACAAAAAAAAAAAGAAAAAAAAAAUGUUCCAUCCAAAAAAAGAACAGAAGAAGACCCAACAAUUACCCGAAAACCAUGGAAAGUAGAAAAGAAAAGAACUGAUUAACACUGCGUAGUAUCAAAUUCAAAGCAAUAGGGUGGAGUUUAUUUGCAGCAAAGAAGGUAUUUCAUCUAAACCUAGAGGAAUUGAUAAGAUGUAGGAGGAGGUUCUAGGUUUGAGUCCCAAUAGGGGCAAAAAUAAGAAAAAAAAAGUUCCAUCCAAAAAAGAACAGAAGAAGACCCAGCAAUUACUUGAAAACCAUGGAAAGUAGAAAAGAAAAGAACUGAUCAACGUUGCGUAGUAUCAAAUUCAAAGCAAUAGGGUGGAGUUUAUUUGCAGCAAAGAAGGUAUUUCAUCUAAACCUAGAGUCCUGGAAAGUAAAAAACCAAACUGGAGAAGCAGAAAGCAGAGAGGAGUGAUGCCCAUACACAUUUGUUCCCUUCCAUACACCUAAACUCAGAAUCCUAAACAUAACCCAACCGUCUUCAAGCUCAACCCACUUAGCAAUCAGGAUUUGGAACCCGCAUGCAAUUUCAUAAACAAGCUAACCUCCAGUUGCUUACAAGUGGCUCAAUUCAUAGGACAACCCUAAUCAUCUCAUAUUCUUACCCUACAAUUUAUGAUCCGUACCUAAGCUUGAAAUCAUAUUUUCAAAAGCAAAAUCACUAACUAGACCAUUAUCACAAUGCUUAGAUGGAAAAGGCUCAAGUACAAAAGCAAGAAGAAAGAUAUUGACAACAUAAUCAUUAUUCUUGUCUGUCAUUAAACAGUUCGCCUAGGACAGACCAAGAAAGAAAUUAUAAAGAUGCCUAAACCAUUCUAAUUAUGGCAUAUGCUCCAGUAAAUAUGACUCAACUGGUCAUACUCAGGGCAACAAUGAGGACACAAACCCUCAACAAUUCAGUUUAGUCCUGUUCUAACCUUUUUUUUUUUUUUUUGAUAGGUGGCUCUAGUUCAAACUUAUAUGAGCAUUUUGGGUACCCAAAUUUUAAGUCUCCUGUAAGGCACACAUUUUGUUUAAGAGAAGAAGAUAUUGCUGGGUCAAAGGACUAGUAAUGUAAGAAACAUGUAAAGGAAUAAGAUGGGCAAUAAAAGGGAACUUAAACGAAUAACACAAUUAGUUCCCACACUCAUAUUAAAAUCUAAUAUUGUAUUUAUAGCUGGUCCAAAAGUACAGAUCAUAAUUGGGUCCAAUACUUGCAUUAAUUUUCAAUGGACCUAGACCACCAAACCAUAUAUCCAUUGCAAGACUUGAACCGUACCAAACUCUACUAACAGAGGAUCAGUUAAUUGAAUAAACGGGUACCAACCAUGACCCUUCACAAAAAUAUAUGGGAGACCAAAUUCUGAGCUGGGAGAAACUCAUAUCCUCCAAAAACUGCAUCCCAAAUGCUCAUUUUCUUAAGAAGCCUUUUUGGCUCCGUCCUAUCCAACUGACUCUGUCCAUGAGCUGAAAGUAUAUACAUCACAACAUGGUUCCUAGAAAUUCAAAUUUCCCUCGCAUGAUCUAAUUCACACACACUCAAGAUACCAGCAUGUUUAAAACCUGCAGCCCUCUGCCCCAAAGAGAAUGUCUCACAACCAUAUAAAAGCAGGAAGACAACAUAGCAGCACUAGAAAGAAAGAUAAAAGGACAUUUUGUGUAAAAAAGGCAAUAGGUAAGUUGAAACAACAUAAGUCAAACAACCAAUAGAAGGUAAAGACAUUUAGCACACUUAAAGUUACACAAAAAUAAUCAUAGAGAGAAAACUAGAAUAGAUAAAAAUGCAACAUACCUUGACAGGGAAAGUUCCCAUUGGAAGUUUUGUUGUAAGCAGUUCUCUUAGACGGCGAAUUGCCUUAACCUUGUUAGCGAGAAUGUCAAGCAAUGGCAGAAGUUCCUCAGUUUGUAGUGGGAAGCUUGGGGAAAGCCAGAGUGUAGGCCUCAAUCCUUUCUUAUACUCAUUCUCACGGCCUCCGUCCUUGCGCCUACCUCCACUUUCAGAAAUCAUAGAAGAAGAUGUUUUGCUAUCCCUUCCUCUCCGGGGUUCAUCUCCCCUCACAACAAUUUCCACAGAAUGUCUUCCUGGUUUGCUCUGGUUUAUUGGAGAAUCUCCUAAUAGAUCACUUACCUUCUCAUCCACACAGAGAGAACUUCUUGGUGGGGCAAUCUUCUUCUGCCCUUCCUGUUUAGAAUCUCGUUUCCUCCAGCCACCAAACCAUCCUUUCUUUUCCUGCUUCAUCUCCCCAUUUCUACAACCAUUCACCUCUUCAAUAGGAAUCUCCCUGUGCUCAUAACAACUAUGGCGAUGCCCAAUUAUCCCUUCACCAUUCUCAUUUGUCAUAUCUGAUGAAUCCAAUUUAAGAGCAACUUCAAGUUGCCUUCUUUCAUCUUCUGUUAAAAUAUCAUCAAGCUCCUCAUUCUCCACUUCAUUUUCAUUGCACGAAGAGAAGAAUUCAUCAUCUGUCAUAGCCCCUGGAACUCUCCUGGACUUGAUGCUCACAACAACAUUGUGCAUAUCAUAUACCUUUGCUCUCCAUGCACCCACCAUUUCUGUUUUCUCUUGCCGUCUCCAUGUCAAUUGAGGCAAAAGAACUGCUUGCGUCACAUCAAUCCCAGGCCUGAAUAUAUUAGUCUGAGACAUUGCUGCCACUUCCUGCUGAACCUCUGCGUCUGUUGCCGGAGAACCAGCACCAUCCAAAGCAUUCAUCACCUCCUUCUCCUUGUGUACGAUCAUACAGAGUGAUCCAGGAGGGACCUUUCCAUCCUCAGAACCAUCGCCCAGGAAAAGUAUACUUUGAUCUGAUCUCUGAAUUCUAAAACCAUCAAAACCAGCCAAAGUCAUAUCUGCCCUCAAAUUUGCACCCCUCUUCCAAAUUUUGUAAGUAUCUGAAGGGGCAAUCCUUGAAAUGAAAGGAAUCACAGAACUCUCAAAGUGGAAUGUAAUUUCCAUGUAGAAAUCUCUCAUCCUUCCCAUAGUUGCUACCAAGCGAGGCAACCUCCUACACCACUUUGCCCAAGCCAAUGGUUGGUAAUGCCUAACUAUGGUCAUGGCAAUUCCUUCUUCCCUAUUACAGAUUGCUUCCUGGAGAGCACUCCAGCCUUGUUCAUUUUGCAAGCUCCAAUCUGCUCCAGCAAGCAUAAGCAUUUCAGUUGCAGUAUUGUCGCCAAGUUUAACAGCCAAAUGAAGAGGGGUGUCUCGGUUUGGAACAUCACGCCGAUCAAUCACAGCAGAGAUGGCUUCAGCCUUCUCUUCCUCAGCCAAGGAAGCCAUUUCAGUUUGAACCUCAUUCGGAUUACAAAGCCUAGGCAAACUCGCUAAUAUCUUCCUGAGACUGGCAUAAUCUCUCAAAGCAAUGGCCUUGUGAACAGGGCUAUGGGUAUAUUUUGAAACGUCGAUGCCCGCCAUGCCUCAGGAGGAUAGAAGACCAACCAAGAUUAGUAUACACAACCAAAACCCAAUUCAGUCAUCCAAAAGUACCAACAAUGAAGAGAACAACCAAGAACCAGUCUUCCCAAAUGAAUAAAUACUAGGUCUGAUCCCAAACCCAAUUCAAAUCUCAACAACCCCAAGCAGUCGAAUCACCACCAGAACCUAUAAAACCAUUCUGCGCCACGCUAUUGAACAAUUGAAGCAGACCCAGUUUACAAUUAGUCUGCAGAACCAAAUGUUCCUCCCAAUCUUCCCCAGAAAUGAGACAACUCUGUUCAAAUUACACCCAAAUAACACCAAAGAAGUAGCAGAAAACAGAAGAAAAGUAUCAGGGUGUCGGCCCAAAUCAAGAUCCAGGAGGUGAAGAAAUCUCACCUUGUUCUUCCUCUAUGACCCCUCCAAAGAACCAAGAUUGCUCCAACAGGGACGCAGACACUGAACCCCACCACCCCUCUCCCUCUAUGCCCUCUGCACAUAGAAAAAGAACUAGAGAUCCCUGUGAUCCAAUCCAGAUCAGACAAACCUAAGAACAUGCAUGUGGGGUGUAAAAUAAAAUAAAAUAACCAAAAAGGAAAAAACGAAUAAGAAAAUAGAGGAAUCACAUAAAGAAAUCAAUGAAAGGGGAGAAUCAAGAAAGGCACACAAGAAAGCAACAAAGCCCCACCAUACAAGCAAAGGAAGAAGGAAGCAGUUUACAUUGAAAAGGAAUAAGCAUAAAGCCUAAAGCCUAAAUGGAGAGAGAAUCAAAGAAAUAGACUGAGACAAGCAUGAGAGAGAGACGGAGAUACCUUUUUUGCUAACUUCCCACCUCUGCACUAGCCUGAAAGAAGAAAGGUAAGAACUUGAGAGGGGUUUUGAGGGUUAAUUGUGAAGGUAGUUGUGGUGGGAGCUUGGAGUCGGAGGAUGAACAAAGUGAAGACGCUUCGUAUUAUUUUAACCCCCUUUUGUACUUUUAACAGAUAAGAACACACACAAAGAUUUGGAAAAAAUAUGAGAGUCAGAGGGACAGAGGGUCCAAAAUGGGAAGACUGCAUGUGAGGGAGGAAAGUGAGAGCCUCCUUUCCUUUUUUUCCGUUUCAUUUUUCCUUUUAUUUUUUUUUUUUUUAAAAAAAAAACAAAAUUAUUUAUAUACAUUAGUCUUUGUUUUUUUUUUUCAUUGUUAUUGAAAAUGUCACUUAUUAAGGUUGUUUUUAUAAGAUAAGUAGGGCCUGCUGUCUGGCUGACUUGGAUGCUCCGACCCGACCCGACGCAACCCACUCACUUGGAGUUUGUAUUUGGUUUGGGUGGGCUGAUUGAUUGGUCUUUAAAACCAUGUCUGUUACUGUCUCAUGCGUCAAUUUGAUUUGAAGGUAGAUUGCAAAUAACUAAAUAUAAUAAUUUUGUUUUGAGUCUUGUCUUUUUAAAUUAGGCGUACCUCUAUGAGUCAGUUUUCUUACACUUUUCAAGGAAAAUCAUGAAUAUUGAUAAAGCAUCUCAUUUGGAUUUCUUGUUUUUUAUUUUUAAAUUUAAAAAUUAUAAUAUAAAAAUAGAACAUCUCAUAUAAAAAUAUAGGGUUUGUUUAGUUUCUAUUUUUAAGUACUGUUUUCUGUUCUUAAAAACAAAAAACAUAAAAAACUUAUUUGGGGAAGGGGUAUGUUUUUGUUUUUUUAUGUUUUUUGUGUUCUAAACACCAUUUUUUUUAGAACAAUAAAAAGAUAUUUUCAUCGUUUUUUCACUAUUCAAAUAAUAGAUUAUUUUUCAUAUUUUUUCUUCUUCUUUUUGUGUUUUUUUAGCUAUUUUUUAUGUUUCCAUAAAGGUGAGUUCCACCCAACCACCACACUCUCACUCGUAAACUUUUUCUUCUUCCUUAAAUUAUUGAAAUUAAUAUACUUACACAUGAUGAUAAAGUCAUCAUUCGUUUAAGAAAAUUAUAACUAAUGUAAAAUUUUCAAAAUUAAAUAAUUUUUUUUAAUUUAAAUGAGUUGUGCAUAUAAAAACUAUUUAUAUAUUUAUAAUAUCAAGUUAAUGGAAGAAAAUACUUUAUUAAUUAAAAAAAUAACUUUUAAACAUGUUUUUUGUUUUACUUAUUCUAAAUUUGUUUUUUUUAUUAACUCAAUCAAACAUGUUUUUUUAUUUUUAAUAACAAAAAUUGUUUUCCAGAAUUCAGAUUCCAAACACAAUUUAAAAAAAAAAAAAAAAAAACAUAAAAACCUGUUCUUAAAAACUGUUCUCAAAAACUAUUUUCUAGAGCAGUUUUCAAAAACAGCAACUAAACAGGCCAAUAGAUUUACCUCAUUUCCUUUAGAAUCACAUUUUGAAAAUUUUAAAUCUGAAAUCAAAUUUUUGAUAUCUUUAUAAAACAUCUUGUAUAAAAAUAUAAAUUUACCUCAUACCAAAUCACUUUCCAAAUUUUUUAAAUGUGAACUUGUAAAAUUUUUUAUAUCUCAGUUUUCUUAAACAAUUUUUAAAAUUAUUACCUUUUUAAAUAUUGUUGUAUCUUAUAUAAAAAUUACCGUUUUUUAUUUUCAAAAUUAAAAAAUAGUAGUGAAUGAUAUAACAGUAAAGAGAAUUGGGUUGGUGGGUGGUUUAAUGUAAUAGGGCUCUCAUAUUUAACCUACUUUGAGCUUGCACUUGAUUAAUUGUUAUGAUUGCGUUUAUUUCCUCUUUGGCGGGAUAACAAAGUCAAUGACAUGCAAUGAUAGCAACCGUUUUUGUUGAUCAUUUUCAUGAAUUUGAAGCAUCCAUUUCCCAAAAUUAGAAAAGCUCCUUCAAUAUUUUCCUUUUGGGUUGGUUUAGCUUGUGAGUGGGGAUUAUGAUUAAGCACAAACCAAAAGUAACCAAGUUUAUGAAUUUGUCAUUAAGUUGGUUUGGAGUUGGAUAUAUAUAUACAUGAUUCCAAGCCUAGUACAAGCUGCAAAAUGGUUUUUGCCAUCUUCUCAAUCUCUCUCCAUUCCAUUCAUCUAUCAAAAUCAUUUCUCAUUGCUGCAAUUUACGUGUAAUUAAGUUUGACCACCCUUACCAUUCAUCAUUUGGAGAAAGUUGUUAGACAAUUAUUAAUAAUAAUAAAAAAAAAAGGGGGUGGGGGGUUAUUUUCAAAAACUGUUUUUGUACCUAAAUGGUACCUUGUGAUUUUAAAACACGUCUAUAAAAUUAAAAGGGAUCUAUACUUAUAUAGUAUUAGAAAUUUCUCAACACCUUCUCAUGGGAUCAAACAAACCCUCAUAUCAAGGUUAGUGAUCGACUUUAAUACCAUUGGUAAUAACUCGCACUAAAUCAUGUAAAUAUGAUCUAAAUAACCUCUCAUAACUUUAAAACACGUUUACAAAGUUAAAAGACACUCAUAUGAUUAAAAUAUAAGUUGUUACAAUUUUCAAUCCUUCAAAACAAAACAAUAAAAUUGCAGGUGCAAAAUAAAAAAAUAAAAUAUAAUUUUUUAUUUUAAAAAAUAAAAAAUAAGGUAUUAUCAAAUAAUUAUUUUUAUUUAUUUUUUAUGAUAAAAAUAUAGAAAAUAAUUAAAAAUAAAAUUAUUUUUAAAAUACACUUUUAAAAAAUGUUGAAUUCGAAAACAUUUCUUAAAUAAAGCCUUAACAAUUUCUCGAGGUAAAGGACAAGCUUCAUGGUAUACAAAGAUGGAGAAUACUGAAUGUAGAAAUUGUCAAUCUACAGUCAGCUUUAGCACGGGUAGCAAGCAGUACCAUUCAUGGUACUAAAGCAUAAGUAAAUUAUUAGUACUUGUAGUCCUUUUUCUCCUGCAAUCCUCCAAUCUUAACCCACCAUUAUUUCUGUCAUUUUUUAUACUUCUAUUUUGAUGAUAAUGUACAUCAUAUUGCAUAAAAAGUUUUGGUUUGAUGCAAAUGAGCUAAUAAAGUAUACUCAAAGUUGACUAAUGGGCAUAGGAGUUAUCUUGCAAUGUGGGAACAAAUCCACAUUUUUCAGGAGGACAAAAUGACCCAAAACCAUGAUAUUUCAUGUAUAUGUACGCUCAUACAUGCAUAGGAAAAACCAACAUUUUUCACCAAUAUAUUUCGGUGUUCGGUAGGCGCACUAAUAUUUUGGUGCCACGUCACUCCCAUUUCUUUUUUUUUUUUUUUUUUUUUUCCAUUUUUCCCCCCAAAAACUCUUAUAACUAGCCUAGGCCCAACUCGCACUCAUACCAACCCAACACCAGCCUAGCAUGCGCUGCACGCGUAUGAGCCUUCCACCACUCCAAUGUCAUGAAUUAUCGAUGUGGGAUUCCAAUAAUUGGAACUUUUAAAAGACAAGGGAAAAUCCAAGAGGAAAGGAAUAAGGGGGCGCUCACAAUCCCCCACGUGUGUGUGUAUAUAUAUAUUAUAAAUUAAUCAUAAUAAAAUUAUUAUAAAUAAAUUAAUUUUGGUUAUUGUGACUUUUAUAUAAUAAUUAUAUAUAAAAUAAAUAUUAAUUUUUGAAUAAAAUUAUCAAAAUUUUAAAAUAAAAGAAUACUUAUACAAAUUAUCAUUAUUUUUAAUGUCAUUAAAUACAUCCAAAUUAGAUGAAUAUGCAUAGAAUAUGUUUUCAAGUUAUAAACAUUAUUAUUAAACAUCACAAUUGUACAUAUAUCAUCAUUUAUUUUUUAUCAUUUAAUAUAAUUGAAUUAAAUGGGUCAUGAUUUUGAUAUAAAAAAUAUUUUUAAAUUAGACAUGUUAUAAUCAAAUAUCAUAAUAUUUGAUGUAAUUUAAUAAUAAACGUACAUUUAUAAAAUUCAUAUUUUUUAUCGAUGUAUUUGAUAUUAUUAUCAAAUAUGAUAAAUUAUAUCAUACUGUGGACCCCGCAUUGUGGCUCAUGCGCUUCCACUCGAUAGCAAACUUGAUCUUUAUUUUAUUUUGUUUGAUGAAAAUUUGAUUUUUAGAAAAAGACUUAGAGUAACCAGUUAUUUUUGUUUUAUUUUUAAAGGGAAAAACAAAAUAAGAAAGAAAAACUCUAAGUGUGACUCCUCAAGGAAAAAAACGGGUUUGUGAAAAACCGAGUCUGGGUCCGAGGGUUAGGUUACUCAUUGGGAAGGUACGGUGGUGAGCCGUAACACCCCUCUAAGCCCGUAUACGUACGACCUCUACUAAACGAAUUGAGGAAAUUGUGGCAAUAAAUUAAUUAAUUAUGGAUAUCAAGAAAAAUAAUCAAUAUAUAAGUCAUGGUGAAAGUUAAUAUGCACAAAAACAAUGAUGAAAUCUAAUUACAAAAAUGCAUAAAAUAAAUAAUAAGAGAAUUAUGCAAAAUGAUUGAUUGAAUUAAAUAAAUAAAAGAUAUUAAAAAAAGGUUUUAAAGAAAUUUCAAAGGAUUUUAUUUAAAAAAUGAUUUUGAAUUAAUGAUUUCAAUUUAUUUACUUACAAAAAAAAAAAGAAUCAAUUUAUUUUCUCAAUUUCAGUUAUAUUCAAUUUUCAAAAAAGCUAUUUACACUUAUUGUAUCAAAAGAAUUUAUUACAAAAUUUCAAUUUGGGCACAAAAAUUAUUUUUACUUGCUUUUACUAGAAAAUAAUGAAUUUUUACAAUUUUAUUUACAAAAGUAUUUAAAUUCAUUUUCAUUUAAAAAAAGUGAUUUUUACAAAUUAUUUAAAAUGACAUAACUUUAUUUGCAAAAGAAAUUUUAAUUAAAAAGAAAAACAAAGAUUUAAAUUCUCUAUUUCUGAAAAACACUUUUAAUCCCAUUUUAAUUAAGGAAAAAGAAUUCAUUCGAAAAAAUAUUUUUAGACAAUUUUACUAAAAAUUAAUAUUUGGAACAACUUUAUUUACAAAACAAUUUUUGAACAAUUUUUAUUAAACAAAGAAAUUUUUGAACAAUGUCAUUAAAAACAAUUUUUCGAAUUCUAUUAAAAACAAUUUUUUUGGAUUUUUCUAAAUGCAUUUUUCUGAAUUUUUAUAAGUAAUAAAAAAAACUUUCUUUUAUUAAAAAUAACAUUUUAAAAUUGUUGUUUUUAUUAAAACACAUUUACUGACUUUGUCCUCUCAUUUAAAAAAAAUUUAUAGUUUGUUCGAUGUUCAAUUCUGCGCACACUCAAUAAAUAUAUAUGAACAAAUAUUUACAAGAACUAAUAAAAUUAAACCAAAUAAAAGUGGAAAAUAAAAUAUGUACCCAAAUAAAUUUACAAUAAGUUUCAUGUGUCAUCAAUUCGUACUUAGCUAAAAAGAUUGCAGAAUGGGUCCAUGCAAAAACAAGAAUAACACAGAUGUAAAUAUCCAGAGAUGUAUAAAAUCACAAACAAAUAUUCAAACCCAAAUUCCAACUUCAGAUUAGUCCCAUAAAUUUCGUCAAUUAAAAUGAGUCCAAAUUACUAUAGUUCUUAACCCAUAACAUCCAAAUUAAUAACAAAAAAUACAAACACAAUCAACCAAACCUAAAAUGGGAUAAAUUAAAAUAAAUUCUACUAGACCUAAAUUUAAUAUUUCAUAAUCUAAGCCUAGUUUAAUAUACACCACAAUUGUCCCAUGUCCAAAUUAAACAAUUCAAAUUGGCCAAGCCCAUAUCAAAUAUUCAAAUAAUUCAACAAAUCUCACCCACAUUAUGGGCCCCAAAAUUCAUAUCAAUUAACAAGCCCACAUAAAAAAUACAUAGUCAAGAGAAAUAAUAUUCCAAGUACAAUCCAAUAAACCCAAACAAAUAACAACUUAACAAUAGGCCCAAGUCCAAAUAAACAAUAUGCAAUUGAUAUAAUCCAAGUAUCCUCAAAUUAAUCACCAAAUACAAUAUGCCCACAAACCCAAAUUAACAAAUCUCAAAUUAAUUCACUAACGAUAAAUUAAAUCAAAUUACGUAUUAAUCUACCCACAACAAAUCAACCUCAAAUUUCAUAUUAAUUCAAUAAUCCAAAUUUCACAAACAACAAUUACUAUUAAAAUAAAAUAAAAUAAAAUAACAACAAUAACAAUAAUAAUAACGAUAACAAUAAUAAUAACAACAAUAAUAAUAAUAACGAUAACAAUGAUGAUAAUAGUAAUAAUAAUAAUAAUAAUAAUAAUAAUAAUAAUAAUAAUUGGAAAAUGAGUGAUACGGGAAGUGAGAUAAUGAGAGAAAAGGGAGGAGGUCGCCGGCGGCGCCGACCGGUGAUCUUGCUAACAGUAGUGGAUGAUUUUUUUAGGAAACACAAAUAAAAUAAACUGAAAUAAAAAUAAUAAAAUAAAAAAUAAAAAUGGAAGAGAAAUGGGGGAGCAGACUGUUGGGUGUUUUUGGGGGAAGAAGAAAAAAGGAAAAAAUAAAAAAUAAAAAUGGGGGUCGGCCCUCUUGGGAAAACGGAGGAGAAAAACUAUAAAAAGAAAAAAAAAUGGAGAAUGGAGGAGGAAUGGAAGAAAAAAAUGGGGAGGAGGAAUGGAAGAAAAAAAUGGGGGGGGNNNNNNNNNNNNNNNNNNNNNNNNNNNNNNNNNNNNNNNNNNNNNNNNNNNNNNNNNNNNNNNNNNNNNNNNNNNNNNNNNNNNNNNNNNNNNNNNNNNNGAUGACAAUUUUUAAUUCAGUUUAAUGAUGCCGUGCCUUGCAAAAGGAUUAUGCCAUCUUAUUUAUUAGUCUUGUGUUCAUUGCUUGUAUGAAUACAUUUGUGCAUGCGCCUCCUGAUAGUAGAUGUUUCCUUCUCUGUAUUUAACAACCUAUAAUUUUUCCCUUUUCUUCGUGGUGGUGUGAAUAUGGAAACAGAUGGAAAAGAUACCCAUCGCUAGCAGUACCAAAGAAGAAGAAGACUCGAGGAAGAAAAGAAGAAAAUAUCGGGGCGCUCCCCCCGUCUCCAUAAAGAAUCAGCCAAAGAAAAAGAAAGAAAAAAAAGCUCCCCCAAAAACUCUUCAAUGGCAGGGGAGGAAAAAAAAUGGGGGGAAAGGAAGUGGGGGGGCGGGGGGGAGGUGGUUGGGGGCUGUGUGGGAAGAAUGGGAAGAGAGAAAAGAAGAGAAUGGGGUGGUUGGGGAGUAGGAAGAGAAAGGAGAGAGAAAAGAAAAAAAAUAGAUAUUAUAAUAAUAAUAUUAAUAAUAAUAAUAAUAAUAAAAAUAAUAAUAAUAAUAAUAGUAAUAAUAAUAAUAAAAUAAAAGUAUUAGUAAUAAAAUAAAAUAAAAUGAUAUACAAAAUAAUAAAAGCUAUUAAAUGGUGAGUGGGCAAAAAAAUAUAUGUAAUUGGAAUUUAAAAUUUAAGGACAAAAUUGGGCUCAAAGUUAAUGUAAAAAUAAAAAAAUAAAAAAAAUGGACAAAUUUUGGGGUUUACAAAUAUGCCCAUCUUCGGUAGAGGUCACGAGUAAAGUGAGUGUAUACAUAAACGAAACGAAGUGAACUUUGCCGAAGAACAAGAAAGACCACUAAAUUUGUUCCAGUAUGACAUGGGCUUUCUUGAAUGAUAAGGCGGGGGAAAAAUGACCCUGAACGCCAAAAGGAGGAAAGAUGGUGACUCUAGGUGCCUGAAUGAGUAUGCAUGACAGCUCUGAACGCCAAAUCUAAAUGAAGAAGAUGGCAUUGAAUGCCAAGCUGGGCAAUGACUCUGAAUGCCAAAAUGAAGACACGACUCUAAAUGCCUAAAACUGAUAAAAGGAAUGGCUCUGAACGCCUAAGACUGGAAAAGAUGGCUUUGAACGCUUAUAAAAGAAAAUUAUGGCUCUAAAUGCCAAAGGGAGAUCUGAAGGCCUACAAUUCUAAACACCCAUGAAAGAAAGUAGUGGCUAUGAACACCUAAAGGGUGAAAACAACUCUGGGUCAUGAGCUUAAGGCUCUGAAUGCUAAGCUGACUAAUGGCUCUAAAUGCCAAGUUGACCGCACUAAAUGUCGAACUGAAGAUAUGAUGGCUCUGAAUGCCUGACCAUGAACGACGACUCUGAACGCCAAACUAUGGAGAAAUGGUGGCUCUGGAUGCCAAACUAAGGAUAUGAUGGCUCUGAAAGCCAAACUAUUGGGAAAUGGUGUAUGCAUGACUAUGAACAAUGGAUCUGAACGCCAAACUGUGAGCGACGGGCUCUAAAUGCCAAACUAUGGAAAAAUGAUGACUUUGUACGCCUGAAUGUGGACGAUGGCUAUGAAUGCCUGAACUGUGAAUGAUGGCUCUGAACGCCUGAACUGUGGAUAAAUCAUGACGGCUUUGAAUGUUAAACUGAAGAUGCGGCUCUGAACGUCAAGCUGGAAAUCAAUGAUGGCUCUAAACGCCAAAACUGAGAAUGCGACAUCUGAACGUCAAACUGGGAAGUGAUGAUGGCUCUGAACGCCGAACUGAGAAGUGAUGGCUCUGAACGCCGAACUGAGAAGUGAUGACUCUGAACGCCGAAACUGAGAAGCGAUGAUGGCUUUGAACGCCGAAACUGAAAAUGCGAUGAGGAUGGCUCUGAACACUAAUACUGAGAAGUGAUGGCUCUGACCGCCGAAACUGAGAAGCGGUGAUGGCUCUGAACGCCAAAACUGAGAAGUGAUGAUGAUGACUCUGAACCCCAAAACUGAAAAAUGCAACUCUGAACGUCAAACUGAAAAUCGAUGAUGGCUCUAAACGCCGAAACUGAGAAUGUGACUAUGAACGCCGAAACUAAGAAUGUGACUCUGAACAUCAAACUAAGAAGUGAUGAUGACUUUGAACGUCAAACAAGAAGUGAUGAUGGCUUUGAAUACUAAACUGAGAAUGCGACUCUGAAUGUUAAACUGAGAAGUGAUGGCUCUGAACGCCGAAACUGAGAAGCGAUGAUGACUCUGAACGUCGAAACUGAGAAUGCGAUGAGGAUGACUCUAAACACUGAUACUGAGAAGUGAUGGUUUUGAUCGCCGAAACUGAGAAGCGAUGAUGAUGACUCUGAACCCCGAAACUGAAAAAUGCGACUCUGAACGUCAAACUGAAAACUGAUGAUGGCUUUAAACGUUGAAACUGAGAAUAUGACUCUGAACUUCAAACUAAGAAGUGAUGGCUCUGAACGUCAAAACUGAGAAGCGAUGAUGAUGACUUUGAACCCCGAAAUAGAAAAAUGCGACUCUGAACAUCAAACUGAAAAAUCGAUGAUGACUCUGAAUGCCGAAACUGAGAAUGUGACUCUGAACGUCAAACUAAGAAGUGAUGGAUUUGAACACCAAAAUUGAGAAGCGGUGAUGGCUCUGAAUGCUGAAAUUGAGAAGCGAUGAUGAUGACUCUGAACCUCGAAACUGAAAAAUGUGACUUUGAAUGUCAAAUUGAAAAUCGAUGAUGGCUCUGAAUGCCGAAACUGAGAAUGUGACUCUGAACGUCAAACUAAGAAGUGAUGAUGGCUUUGAAUACCAAACUGAGAAUGCGACUCUGGACAUCAAACUAGGAAGUGAUGAUGAUGACUCUAAACGUCAAAUUGAAAACCGAUGAUGGCUUUGAACGUCGAAACCAAGAAUGUGACUCUGAACGUCAAACUAAGAAGUGAUGAUGGCUCUGAACCCCGAAACUGAAAAAUGCGACUCUGAACGUCAAACUGAAAAUUGAUGAUGGCUCUGAAUGCCGAAACUGAGAAUAUGACUCUGGACGUCAAACUAAGAAGUGAUGAUGGCUCUGAAUACCAAACUGAGAAUGCGACUCUGGACGUCAAACUAGGAAGUGAUGAUGAUGACUCUGAACGUCAAACUGAAAACCUAUGAUGGCUUAGAAUGACGAAACCGAGAAUGUGACUCUGAACAUCAAAAUAAGAAGUGAUGAUGGUUCUGAACGCCGAAACUGAGGACGCGACUCUAGAUAUCGAGCUAAAGACAAACAGCGACUUUGAACGCUAAACUGAAGAUACGACUUUGAAUGUUAAGGCGACGAUUUGGCUUUGAACGCCGAACUGAAGGUGCGGCUUUGAACGCUAAACCGAAAAGAGAUGGUGGCUCUGAAUGCCAAAUUGGAAAAUGAUAGUGACUCCGAACGCCAAACUAGGCAGAAAUGGUGGCUUUGAACGCCAAAAUAAGAAGGGAUGAUGGCUCUGAACAUUGAAACUGGAGAUGCGGCUUUGAAUGCCGAAAAUGUGAAACGAUGAUGGCUCCGAACACCGAACUAAGAAUGAUGAAGGCUCUGAACGCCGUAACUGAGAAGAUGGUGGCUCCGAAUGCUGAGACUGAGAAAUGAUGGUGGCUCUAAACGCCGAAACUGAGAAGUGAUGGUGGCUUUGAACGCCAAAACUGAGAAACGAUGGUGCCUCUGAACGCCAAAACUGAAAGGCGAUGGUGGCUCUGAACGCUGAAACUGAGAAAAUAUGGUGGCUCUGAAUGCUGAAACGAAGAUGUGGCUAUGAACGCCAAAAUUGAGAAAUGAUGGUGGCUUUGAACGCCGGAACUGAGAAGUGAUGAUGGCUCUGAAUGCCGAACGAAAAACAAACAAUGGCUCUGAACGCGAAAAUGAAAAUGAACAAUGGCUCUGAAUGCCAAAACUAAAGAUGCAGCUCUGAACGCCAAACGGAAAACGAACAACGGCUCUAAACGCCAAACGGAAGAUAUCUCUAGAUAUCGAAAUGAAUGUGUGGCUCUGAACGCUGAAAAUGAACGAUGGCUCUGAACGUCGAAACGAUAAAUGUGAUGAUAUCGAACUAAAGGCAAACAACGGCUUUGAAUGCCAAACUGCAAGGAUACAUCUGAAUGCCAAGAUGACAAUGCGACUUUGAACGCCGAACUAAAGGUGUGGCUCUGAACGCCAAACUGAAGAUACGGCUCUGAAUGCCAAGAUGACAAUGCGACUCUGAAUGUCGAACUAAAGGUAUGACUCUAAACGCCAAAAUAAAGUUGUGGCUCUGAACGUCAAACAGAAAAUAAGGAUCUGGAUGUUGGAAUGAAAAUGUGGCUCUGAACACCAAAUGAAAAAUGAACAACGACUCUAAUCACCAAACGAAAAAAGUGAUAGCUCUGAUAUCGAAAUGAAAAUGAGGCUCUGAACGCCAAACUGAAGAUGCGGCUCUAAACGCCAAAAUAAAGAUGUGGCUUUGAACGUCGAACAAAAAAACAAAGAUUUGGAUGUCAAAAUGAAAAUGUGGCUCUGAACGCUAAACGGAAAAUGAACCACGACUCUAAACGCCAAACGAAAAAGGUGGUAGCUCUGAUGUCGAAAUGAAAAUGCGGCUCUAAAUGCCAAAUUGAAGAUGCGGCUCUAAACGCCAAAAUUAAGAAAGAUGGUGUCAUCAAAUGCCAAAAUGAAAAUACGGCUCUGAACGCCAAAUUGAAAAGAGGUGGUGGUUCUGAACGCCAAACUGAAAAUGACAUAAUGAUCCUGAAUGUCGAACUAGGAACAUGGCUCUGAACGCCAAACUGCGAAAAAAUGGCGGCUCUGAACACCAAACUAUGAAUGCCAAAUAGAAACAAAGACUCUGAAUGCCCAACUAAACUGAUAACUAGGAAUGUCAGGCUGAGAAAGACCACUCUGGACGCCGUGACUGAGAAGACGUGAUGGCUCUGAACGUUAAGCUGAAAAUGGAUGACUCUGUACGUCGUAUCCAAGAAUGGAUGGCGGCUCUGAACGCCAAACGGCAAGGAAACGAUGAGGGGGGAAAUAUGCCCCAGUGUAGUGUGCCGCCACAACUCUCCAUUCUCUGAAAAGGUAUAAAAGAGGCUCCAUGAGCCUCAAGAUAUGCUUUGCUAGUAAUAAAAUAAAAUAAAAUAAUAUACAAAAUAAUAAAAGCUAUUAAAUGGUGAGUGAGAUCACCAUCGCCUGAGUCGCCUCUUCCCUACCGCACCGUUGCAAGCCAGCAUGCCACCCUCUGCCGCUGGAACCCUGACUAUUAACCCCCUUCGGCUGGCUAUAACCCUCUCGCCUCGACUGUAAACCCCUCCCUUCCCAGCCUUACCUUCAUUCAACCCCUGAUACUGAAGAUAUGAUCUAAAACUAUAGGUAGGCCAAGGGUGAUGUUUUUUUAGCAGAAGUGGAAUCAUCAAUCACCAAAGGAAAAAAGUGAAUUGAAUGGUGAGAAGUUGGGACUCUGAGUAAAUAUCUUUGUAGUAAAUGCCUUGUCAUUGAGUGGAAAAAAAAAUGCAAUCUUUGGUAGAAAUGAAAGGUUCCAAAUAGCAAUUUGUACAAUGCUAAACACAAUUGGACGGUUUCUUUUGUUUUGCAGAUUUUUAGAUGAGGUAAGCUACUAGGUUUACAUGGAUCAAACAAGAGUGAGAGAUUGAUCUUAUAGGAAAGUGAUAGUUGGUCUUAUGAGGAGAAGUAUGAAGUUAAUGAUUUAGUUUGGAAACUAAGACUGAUGGUUGAAAGUUGGAACAAUGGAGAUAUAUAUGAAUUUCCAAGUAUCUUUUUGUAUGGAAAAUCACCUAGUAGGCUAACUUAAGAAAGCACUGGAAUGUCUGAUUAAUAUAUGAUUUUUGAGGUUGUGUUGUAGGCCUCUCCUAGAUUGGUAUUAUGACUUAUGGAACAAAUGAACGAAUGAUGUGAUUGGGUGAACUGGAAUACAUAAGAGGGGCUAGCGUCAAACAAUAAAGAAAGUUGAGUUGUUCACUUUGCUUCUUUGUUGUGGGUAUGGGAGAUCAGUGAGAGGAAGUACAGAAGUAGAUUACUCCGUUGUUUUUAUCAAACGUGGACACUUCCAAACUUGUGUUCGUUGUAUUAUGCUUAUGUGCAUAAUAUCUUCCAUUUUGUUUUUAAAAAUUUAAUUUUUAUGUUUUAUAUUUAAUAUCUUAAUAUUUAAUUUCUUAAGUUUUUGUAGAUGAUAAUUGUAAUGAUAGGUUUAAUAUUUAAAAUUUUUAUUUUUAUUUUAUUUAUUUCACAUUGAAAAUUUAAUUUGUUGAAAUUAUUGAAAAUAUUAGGUUAUUGACAUUUACAGAUAAAAAAACUCAGUAGAUAUUAUUAAAAUUUAGAUAGAAUUUAUUAUUUUUAUUUAUUAAUUUUUUAAAUUUUAAUAAUAUAUAAAAAUAUAUAUUUAUGACGUCAUCGGUUUGACCGCCGGUCCAACCAGUGAACCGUGAAUCAGUAACUUUUUCGGUUCGAUGACCGGUCCGGUUAUGAAAACAUUACAUUUUUCAAUUAAUUUUUAUAAUUUAAAAAUUUUAAAAAUUGUAUGCAUUUUUUAAUAUAAAAAAUAUUUGUUUAAUCAUUUUUAAUUUUCCUUUUUUAAAAAAAAAUUAAAAAUUAUAUAUAUAUAUAUAUAUAUAUAUAUAUAUAUAUAUUUUUAAAAAAAACCCUUUUCAGAUCUACCUCUUACCUUAAGUUUUUUUUUCUGCACCUUCUUCUUCCUCUUGAAAUCUCUCUCAUCCGUUUCUUUUCUCACGAUCUUUCCCUUUCGUUCAUCAUAAUCCACACUCCUCUCUUUCUCUUUCAUCUUAGCACCUCCAUUUCCCCAGUCCUUUUUGUUGGGAAUUGUCCCAAAUUCCUAAUUAGUAAAUAUUCCUUUUUGUAAAGAAUAUUGUAUAGAAUAUUUCUAAGUUGAUAUAUUAUUGUAAUAUUAGACUUCCUUAUAGAAUAAGGAAGGUUUUUAGAAAUAUCUCUAUAAAUAUUCUAGGUCAUGAGGGGAAAAAGUCAUGAGAUGGAGAUGGGCCUAUAGAGACUAUACGAGGUGGAUAGGGAUGUGAGGAAGAACAGGAGGUACCUGGUGGAGCGAGAGGGCUCGUAGUAAGGUAUGGAUACAAGGAGUGGGGAAACAUGGGAUGUUUCGGGAACCCAAUAGUUGUAUCUGGUUUUAUCCUCUGUAAUAUUCUCUAUUGUAUAGUGAAAUUAUUCUCUCUCAUCCGUGGACGUAGGCAUGGUUGGCCGAACCACGUUAAAACCUCGUGUACCGUAUGUGUGAUUGUUUUAUCUUUGUGUUAUUGAACUAACAUUGUUGGCAUCAAAGCUUUCGCUGGCACUACACUUUUAUCUCUCACACACACACAUAGAUUCACCCACCUCUGUUGCCCAUGAGAAGUUUAGAUUGCAGCAUUGCCACCAUGACUAACAUUAUAGCCGAUCAAUUUUCUCAUUUGGAGAAGAAAAUUGGAAAAGAAAAUUUUGAGAGCACAAAUUUGAGGGUUUGUGGGUUUGUUCUCUAUGUGUGGAUUUGGGAUUUGAUUAAAUUUGUUGUAGGAUACAUUUUUGUGGGUUUGUGAUUUGUUCUCUGUGAAUGGUUUUUUUGUUCUUUGCGAUUGUUUUUUUUUUUUUUUUUGUUCUCCAUUAUUUUUUUGUGUUUUUUUUUUCCGUUCACAGUGUAGAAAACACGAAAAACAACUUGAUAUUGUUCUCCAAAACCACCAAAUUAAAAACACAAAGAACAAAUUUAAAAACACAGGAAACAAUUGUCAAACAUGUUUUUGAGUGUCUUUUUCUCAAGAACAAAAAACAGUUUUCGGAAACAGAAAUGAAAAAAGCCUUUAAUUUUUUAAAAAUUUCAAAUGGUGUUUUAAUGUUUCAUUUUCCUCCGUUUGGUUAGUGAGAAAGUUAAGGAAAAUGAGGGCAAAAAAAAUCAUGAACCACUUUUUCGAUUUUAUUCUUUGUUUAUUUUUGGUAUUUUUAAUGUUUCAUUUUCCUCUGUUUGAUUAGUGAGAAAGCUAAGGAAAAUAAGGGGAAAAAACCCAUUAACCACUUCUGUCCUCAAACCCACUUACCCGAAUAUUUGCCUAUUAUUUUACCCAAAAUUAAAUUGCUUCAAAAACUUACCUAGCCACUGCAAGACGUUGUUGUGGGAGCUGAUAGUGGAGGUGCUGGUGGGAGCUAUAGAUGGUGGGAGCUGCAGACGAUGAGGAGAGAGAAGAAUAGUUAGGGUUUCAGAUAAAAAUAGCUUUGGGAUAAAAGUAUGUUGAAUGGUUUCGAAUGAAAAAAAUGGACUUUAGAAUAAAAGUGUGUUGAAUGGAAAAAAAGAAGAAGUUAAAGAUAGCUUGCUAAUGUGGAUUCAAAAGAGUGGUUUAACAAUUAGUUUGAAAGAUGCACUACUUUGGUUUUUUUAUUUAUUUAUUUUAAAUAAAGACUACUUUGGCUGCAAACUCUCAUAUUUCUUAAGCCAUUCUUUGAUUUUUGUUCUCUCUCUCCCUAUAUAUAUAUAUAUAUAUAUAUAUAGGUCCACACCUUUCCUUCCUUUUUUCUUUUUUUUUUUCAUCACAACUCUAGAAAAUCAGGUAAUCCUUUUUUAUUUGUUUAUUUCUUUUUGUUACUCUAAUCUUCCAAACUCUCGCCCCACAUACACAACUGCAAGACCUCUUAUUAUUCUUAUUUUUAUUCUUAUUAUUAUUUUAGAUCUACUUAAUUUAAUAUUAAUUUUUUUUUCAAUCUUCAUCAAUAACUCUACCUAUAUUCACAAAUUUCCAAUCUUUUUAAUCUAAAAAGUUAAACAAACAAACUCUAAUCUAAAUUGGGAUUUUUCAAAGAAUAUAUAAUGUAAUUAAAACUAAUUAAUGAAUCUUAAAUAUAAAUCUAGGGGUUAGAAUAUUACUUGAAAAAUUGAUCUUCAAUCCAAAAAUUCUAAAUCUUCAAUUUUACAUUUUCCUACGCUCUCUAAUUUUUCUAAUCUUUGUGUAAAAGAGUUUUAUGAAUAGAAAAAUCAAGAAAUAUUUAAUUUAUACUUAGAGAUUUUAAAUACGAAAAGACAUUUUUAUCUUUAUUAAAUUAAAUUAAUUUUUUUUCUAAAUUAUGGUUUUACCCCCUAAAUUGGGUUUGGAGCAUUACACUUGGCUUUUGAAAUUCAAUUGUGAUUAUGCAUGUUAGUUGAUUAAGUUAUUUAUUUAAAGUUAUUAUGUUUGAAAGCAUAUUGUUUGUUUGGGACUUAGGUCUCCAUGUUAAAACCUAUAUUUGAUUACUUAUAUUUGAAAGCAUGACAAUUAUUUGUGAUUUAGUUAAAAUUCAUAAUAUAGGUUUAUUAUCUUUGAAAGAACUUUUUUCAAAUAAAGGAUUUUUUUUUUAAAGAUUGAUAUUUUGAGUUCAGUCAAAAUUACUUUCUUCUUUUCAAAAAAAUGAAUUUUCUCCAUCAUGAAUGAAUCUCCUGGAUGUGAAUGAAAAGUACCCAAAAAGAAGAUCCAAGUUGAUUUUUUUUCUUAUUUUCAAAUCCAUUUUCUAAAGGGAGAUAUGACUUUUCAAAGUUGCACCUACUCUAUAUGAUAGAUUCUAGACAUCUAAUAAAUUUAGGUGUUUUAAAAAUUCAUCCGAGUACUCCCUAGUCUUGGCUUUAUUUUUUAUGUAAUUUAGAAUGUGUGAUUUUUUUUUUUUUUUUUGUGUGAAUUUAGAAGGCCUCUAGAUUAUUAUUAUUAUUUUUAAUUCAAUUUAUGCAUAUCGUUGUUUUCUACCAAGUUCUAGACCUUUUGAAUUAAAUCUGAUGUUUGUGUUUGGAUUUUGUAUGUUGUUCUAGAUGUCUAUGAGAAGUCAUCUAUGCUUUGAUGUGGUUAAAUUCAUCUGCUUAAUUUUUUUGGAAUUCGUUUUUAAAGACAACCUAUUGUGGUCAUAUGCUGAAUUUUUGCAUACUAAUUGUUCUUAAUGUUAAAUUCACAAUGAAUGGAUGUUUCAUAGCUUGUUAUUCAUUGUUGUAUUGUGAUAUAUCAUACAUGGAUAGGGAUGAUGUCUUCUGUUUAUUCGUUGGCCAAGUGAGGCUUAGGUAAUAAUUUAGAAUUAUAGUUGCAAUGCCCAUAUUUUGAUUAAUCAGUUAUAUGCUUUGUUAAAUACUUGUUUCUUACACCUUAUAUAUAUAUUUAGGAGUUGUAUGCAUGCCUUGUAUGAUAAAUUGAUGUCCUUGUGAGUUCGUGUUCUCUAUUUAUGUCAUGUAAAUACUAUGCAUGUUUGGUUUUGUUCUCCUAAUUGCUUGUCAUUAUCUUUUAUCCUAACCUCUCUAUUCUUAUUGGAAGUGUAUUAUGUUUAAGAUAUGUUGUUCAGGUACACUUUCCAUUCUUCACCUUUUAAUUCUAUGAGCAUGCAUGUCUUGUUGAACAUCUCUAUGUUUGAUGUUAUCUUAGCAUGCUUAAUGUGUUGUUAAAAUUACCUUCAACCUUUCAUGGUAUCUUAAGUCAAUCAAUUAAUUGUCAUACUUUUCUCAGCCUAACUAGUAGAGACCUUUUUAAGACUUAGAGGGUGCUAUAUCUUUAAGUACCUUCUCAAUAGGUAACAUGAUCCCCAAACCUAGACUCAAGUUUUUCAAAGAUACACUUUACCAAAAGUUUAAGGAGUCAUUUUUCUUAGGAUUUUAGUUUCUUAUUUUAUUUUCCCUUUAAAAAAUAAAAAUAAGUGGCAAUUCUAGGUUUUUUUUAUAAAAUACAUUUUUUUCACUUAAAAAGUGAGUCUUGUUGUCAGAUGGGAACACACGUGAAAAAUUCGGGUCCACAUACAUAUCCAAACCUAGAGUAUUCAUCAUUAAAAAUGAUAAAGUACCCAUACCCUCUCUAUGUAUGAACUCCAAAAGUUUCACACACAUUUAGUAUACAUUAAUUCCAAACAUUCCUUGGCUUUAUAUUCUUAGCAAUAAAAGGUCUCUUAGUCAUUUUACUAUCUAUAUAGGAUUCGCAAACUAGAAGAACCUCUUAAAUCAAAGUGUCCAAACUUGACCAAUCUUUGGAUCUUAUUUAGAUUAAAAUAACAUAGGCUUUAGAAUCCAAAUGUUUAAUUAGUGCUAAGUCCUUUCUUUUAGUGAGAUCUAACUAUUCUCAUUUCUUAGCAAAGUGAUAAUGGAGUUUCACAUAAAAGAUGUAAUACCUCCCACUAACCUCCAUAACUAACCUUGUAAUUGAAAUUAAGGUAUGUACAUUCUCAUCAUAUAUCCUUUUCAUUUGUUGAAAAUCAUGUAAAAUAUUAUAAAUAGUAAGCCUGAAAGCUAUCCACCAUAGUUGGUGAAAUCUACCACUAUUUAUUCAACAAUAAAAAUAUGAUAUAUACUUUCCUUUUUCUUUAGAUAAAUCGAGCAUUCCUUUUUCAUUAUCCCAAAGGGUUAUAAAGAAAUCAUUGCCCUUGAGUUUGUUCUCUCAUUCAUUUUCUUGAACUUUCCUUAUUUGGUGUUCUUUUUCUUUUUGAUAGAAGAACCUAAAGAAUUCUUGACUUCUAUAUGAAUACCCUUCCAAUCUUUGAGAAUCUUUUUAUCCAUCGUAAAAGAAUUUGGUAAGAUCUCUUAAAUGACAUGAAUCUAGGUGUUCAUAAUAGUCUUAAAGGCAACUUCUCUAAUUGACUUGUCUUUAUCACCAAAUAAUCCUUGUAACUUUAAGAACACCAAUAAUUUGAUUUUUCUAGGUUAUCAAUAAAUCGUCUAUUAAUUUGAUGAUUUUUUUUCCUGGUCCCAUUGCUUUAUACCCUAGUUAUAUUUGCUUGUACCAUGGUCCCAUUCAUUUAUACCCUACUCUGAUUUCCUUGUACCUCAUAUCAUUACUUUGUCCUAAAUUUAUUGUUUUCAAAAAAGAAAGUAUAUUUAAGCAAUAUUUUACCUUUAAUAGAAUUAUAUGAUUAAUUUAUUAUUUUUCUAACAUAUAUAUGUUAUUACAACCUAAGAAAAGUGAAUUUUAACAAUUUUUGUUAAUUUGCUCCCAUACAUUCAAAUUCUACUCCCUAAUCUCCCAAUUGGGCUCCCAAGUUCUCUAAUUCUACUUUGAAUGAAGGAAUUACAGAUAGUCUUAAGAGUUUUGUAUCUAGGGUCUCAUUUAGUUGUACCUUUUGUCUUAUACCUUGUACCCAUAGUUAAAUAAUAUAGAUUCUUUUACUAAAGGAACAAAGAAUUGAUAAUCUUUGAAAUAUAUAUAUAUAUAUAUAUAUAUAGAUGAUUGUUACUGACGUAUUUUAAUUUUUCUUAAUUGGAGUGAUUCUCCUCUCAUACCUUCAUAAUCCGCUCUCUAAUUUAAUCAAUUAUACUCUUUGAUACUUUAAUUCUACUCCUAAUGACAAAAUUAUAAGGGCUCCGAAACCAAUCUACUCAAAGUCCCAUUUUGUCAUACCCUACUCGCAUUCCUUUUUGCUUUAAUCCUAUGUCUCUGCACCCAUAUUGAUUAUGUUUUAUUUCUCAUUUUAAAGCAUAUCUAUAUAUAUUAAUUAUUAAAAAAUAUCAAUAAUAAAAUUAUUUAAAUUUUUAUUACAUGAUAAAAAUAAAUUACUCAAAUAAAAUAUUUUCUUUUCUAAAUCAAUGACUAGGAUCAAACAACAGGAUCCUAACAGCUAGGAUCGCCGUAGUUACUACAGCUAAUUACUGGAUAAUAUUUAGCGAGUGGUGCCCAGUGCAUUUCAAUGCAUGAUGUGGCGCUGUAUUACGUUUUAGGGCAGACUAGUCUUUCAAUAUGCCCUACCGACACGUUAUUUCUUGGUUGCUGUGCGUUGGUCCAUGGUUUAUACAAUUUCGCUUUUUGUUUAAAAUUACCAACAAUAUGAAAUUAGCUAAUCAUACCUUUACGUAUAUCAUAUUAAUAUUAUUUGUUGGUAUACUUUUGUCAUUAAUUUUAGUUCUAAUUUGUCUAUCUAUCUUUAGAAGUUAUAAAAAUUAUAAAAUAAUUAAGAUUAAAUUUAAAUUGGUCGGAUAUAAUAUGUGAUAGGAUAAAAGAUGAGAUGUUAUGUUAUAUCUCAUAUUUGAUUUGUGAUAGAAUAAGUCGUUUCAUCACAUAUCAUUUUUUCAAUCAAAGGCGAUAAGAUAAUUCAAAAGAUAUAUUAUUUUAUUUUAAUUUAUUUUUUUUAUUUUUAUCAUUUCUACGUGGAAGGUGUUAAUCUAAUGUUAAGAUAUGAGAUAUAUAUAUCCUGUAUAUUAAAAAAUAAUUUAUUUUUAAUCAUUUUUUUUAUAUACUCAUUUUACAAAAUAAUUUUUUUUAUUAUAAAUUAAAUUUAUGGUUAAAAAAACUACAAAAACAUUUAUAAAAUAAUAUUAAUAUAUGAGAUAUAAAUUAUUUUUAUAUAUUAAAUAACAUAAUAUAAAAAAAUUUAUUGAUCAAAUUUAAAUAUUUUAAUAAUAAAUAUUGUUAAACAUAAGAUAAAUUUCCUUUUUUUUUUAAAUAUAAAAUAUUAGAAUGUGAUAGAAUUUUUAUUUUAAUCAUUGAAAUAAUAUAUAUUUCAUAUUAUUUUUUUAUUCAUUUUACUAAACCAUGUUUAUAUAUCGUAUCUUAUCUUUAGUUAGCAAUGAGGUAUGAUAAACUAUUUUAUCACUUAUCUAUCUUAUGUUCAACAAAACAUGUGAUAGGAUAGGUGAUGUGAUAUAUUAAUAACUUUUAAUUUUUUUUAUCAAUUUUUUAUUUUUUAAUAUACUCAUUUUAUAAAAUAAUUUUUUUAUUAUAAAUUAAAUUUGUGAUUAAAAAAUAAAAACUAAAAAAAUAUUUAUAAAAUAAUAUUAAUAUAUGAUAUAUAAAUUAUUUUUAUAUAUUAAAUAACAUAAUAUAAAAAAAAGUUUAUUUGCAAAGUUUAAAUAUUUUAAUCAUAAAUAUUGUUAUACAUAACAAAAAUUCCAUUUUUUUAAAUAGAAAAUAUUUGAAUAUAAUAUAAUUUUUAUUUUAAACAUUGAAAAUAAUAUGCAUUUUGUAUUUUUUAUUUAUUUCAUGAAUUAAAUAUAAAUAUAACAAAUAAUAUAACAUAUUCCAUUAAAUAUGUUACUUUAAAGUAUCGUAUUAAUAAGAUAUGUAUAUUCAAGAAAACAUAUAAUAACGUAAGAUAUGCAUAUUUUACAAUAUCAUAUUUCAUCAUAUAAGAAAUACAUAUUUAUAAAACAUAUCUAAUACUAUAUAUUUCUUAUCUCAUGGGAUAUCAUAUUCUAUUCUAUACUAUCCUAUGCUGCCAAGCAAAUGUAAUCUAAAGCCAUUUAUUGUUGUAUGCUAUUAAUGUAAAGAGAACAUAUUUUAUGAAAUUUUAAAAAUCAACAUAUAUAAAUGCCAACAUAAUUUAUUGUACAAAUAAUGUUGAAGGUAGAUACGCCAAAUUCAGUUCAAAGAAUUUUAUAAACUGUUCUUAAAUGGAAGAUACAGUACAUGAAUCCAAUCCAAGAAAUAGUGAGAAUUUUUUUAUUUCUCUCAUCAAUUCUAAAAUCCAAAACUUGAAUUAAUAUCUUUUUAUUCAUUCCUUUUAAAUUAUAUUGAUUUAUUUUUAAGGUUAUAUUUCAAUUGGACUUUGAUUUUGAAAUGGUUUAAGUGCCCAACUCCUUGAUAUAUAUAUAUAUAUAUAUAUAUAUACUCAAAUCUUAAAUCCAUAUUUAUGAGCAUUAGAAUUCAAUUUUUUUUUUUUUACCAUUUAAAAUUUUUUUUAGUCAAAUCAAUAUUUAUGGGAACUCAAAUCCUUAUUUACCAUUUGCCAGUCAAUUUAAUAUUUAUGAGUAUUCAAAUCUUUAUUUACCAUUUUAAUUUUUUAAUCAUAUCAUUUUUAGAGAGGAAUUAUCAUAAUAUAAGGAUAUGCAUCACCCAUUUAGGCAAGUUGGUCUUUCACCAUUUUUCAUAGUUAGGUAAUUUGAUGUAAUAUAUAUUAUUAGCAUAUCAAUUGUAUAUUAUAUACUAUUAGCAUAUCAGUUACCAUUAUACAUUUUUGAAACAUAGAGUGCUUUAUAUAUCAUUCAUGUUGUAGGAUAUAAUUGAAUCAUAAGAAAAUAUUAAGAAAAAAAAAUCAACUUAAAAUUCACAUGCAUUUAAGGGUAUAAAAUAAGUAAAAAAAUCAAUAAAUAAAAGUAAUGAUGAA
rnacentral:lncRNA from 1 species